rnacentral:rRNA from 1 species
CAUGUGGCUGGACCACCUUGUCAGUGUCUGAGCUUGUCUGAGCUCAUAAGCUACAGUAUAAGCAAGUUUGGACCUGGCUAGUAGUUGGAUGGGAGACUGCUGGAAAUAUCAGGUGCCUCAAUGG